UGCUGCGGCAGUAGAGAUCCCGCGCCCAGGGACUUCGGCACGCGGACCGACUUUCUCCUUCUUCCAUUCUGUGCGUCCAUGAUGGUUAUAACAACACACUAAAUUUGCAAGGGACCGUGAGUACAAACGACUUGGAAAUCACACCCACACAAGAGCUCCAACAGCGCGCCAACGUACGUGGUACCACAGACUGAUUUAUAAAAUCCCGGGUAUUAAGAACUAUUUUUUUCUUCUCUUAUCUGAUUUCUUUAUCCUGUGAAUAUUUGUGAAUUUAAACGUGUAGUUCCUGUUGAUUGAUGUUGUGCACAUUUGGGGGGCUAUCUUAAGACAUGCAUGGGAGUUAACACUCAUACAGACACAUCACACAAUUCCCUGGUUUAUAUUUUGUAGCAUCACCAAUUCCUCUCCCAUGCAAAAUACUGUGUGUAUGACCCGGUAGGUAAUAGUAUUUAAAAAAAAAAAUAGGAAUUGAGUGAGGGGGCCACAUAAAGAAAAUCAAUGAUGACAAAGGAGGGAGGAGGAAGGGAGGAGGGAGAUGAGGGAGGAGGGAAGGAAGGAAGGAAGGAAGGAAGAAAAGGAUAGAUGGAAGGAAGGAGGGAGGGAAGGAGAGAAAGAAAAGGAAGGACGAAGGAGAGAAAGGAAAGAAAGAAAAGGGGGAAAAUAAAGAAAAGGAAGUAAGAAUGAGAGAAAGGAAGGAAGGAAGGAAAGGGAGAGAAAGUGAAGAAGAGAAGAAAGUAGGAAGAAGAAAGAGGAGAAGAAGAAGAGACAGGAGAGAAAGGAGGAGGUAAAGAAAGAAGUAAGGAGGGAAGGAGAGAAAGAAAAGAAGAUGAGGAAGUAGGAAUUAAGGAAGAGAAAAAGUAAAUGAGAAAAAAAAGGAAAGGAAGUAAGAAGGAAAAGAGAGGGAGUAAGGAAGAAAAGAAUGAAAUUAAGAAAGAAGAAGAAGAGAGGAGAGAAGUAGGAGAAAGGGGAAGGAAAGAAGAGAUAGGGAGGAGGAAAGAAGAAGAAGGAGAUAAAGGAAAGUAAAAGCGUCCUCAGACUUGGUCUCUCAGGAUCCCUCAGGUCCUCGUUUCUUCUGUUUCUGUUUCCUGGUCUUUGUGAAAGAGAAAACUGAGAACUGAGAUCUCAUCAGAGUCCUGGACCUUCACAGACCGGUUUGAUCAGCUGAUCUUCAUCAGAGCUGCUGCUGCUUCAUUAACCAUGACCGUGGAGAAACUUUCCCAUGAUGCUUUUAGCUCAUGUGCAGAAACCGUCUGUUUACUUUAGUGUGUUUGAAGGUUUAUCUGGUCCCUCCUGUGUCCAGCCCUAAAGGACCCCAGACCCUCAGAGAUAGAUCGGAUCUUUUCGAGGAUUCAGGGCUCUGUCGGCAGAGUAAUGUGUCUCGGCACAAAGGGAACGAUUGAAGCAAAAGGAUCAAAAGAAAGAAAGAGAGGAGGAGGAGGAGGGUAAGAAGAGAAAGAGAGUCAAAGAAAACGUAUUCCAAUAUGGAGAGAGGAUAAACCUGCAGAUAGAAGGAGAGGAAGAAGAAAGCGUGUUUUUGUGUCUGCGAGAAAAUAAAAGAGCGAGCAGGUCCCAUCGGCUGGCAGGAGGUCAAUGAACGGAGCGGGACACUGAGCCGAGUGUUCGCCUCCCUGAAUGGAGCUCCUCAGGGAGAUCCAGCGCACACACAUUUACUCUCUCACGUUCAUGGAGGUCGAAGCUCAGUCAUCGAAUCCUUUUGAUGAGCCACCGAUGAACACGGGAGUAAAGAAGUCAUUGUGCCGGAGAGAAAAACCAGCCCUGAGAUCGGAGUCGAGAUACAGGACCGCGUCACAGCUGGGGGGAGAGAUAUGGUCCUGGUUUAUUUUACAACCAGGAUCAAUGUUUAGACUUUAAAAACAUGAGGGUUAUAGUGUAAGGUGAAGAGUUUAACUUCAUGAGAAUCCAGCUAACUCGAGAGUUCCUGAUUCUUCUGCCAAACAAACUCAAACCAAACCAUCAACCCAGCACAUCUCCAAAUUCACACAGACUCACACGAACUAAACUUUAAAGGGAUAUAAUAUCAGAUAUUUAAUGUGCAUUUUGCUGUUUGUCAUUAGUUAAUGGAACAUGCUUUCUAAACUCUGUUGGCUUGACUGAAUCUAUAAAUACUUGAAAUAAAAAUGGCGCUUCAGAGAUAUUUGUACACGACUCAGUAUAAGAAAAGGUGAGUUUUUGGGUCAUGAUAGGGCCUCGAAAUCUAGAAUCAGUCAGCCAAAGAAACAAACAAAUCAACCAAUCAAGAAAAAAACAAACUAACCAACGAACAUACGAACCAAACAACAAACCAAACAACUAAUUAUGAAGCAACCAAGAAACUAACUUACUAAUAAAGCAAACAACAAAGCAACCGAUCAAAAAUCUAAUGAACCAACAAACUUACAAACCAAGCCACAAACUAACCAACUCACUAACGAACCAACUAAACCAACCAAUCAGCCAACCAACUAAGUUACUAACGAACCAACCAAUAAACAUACGAACCAAGCAACAAAUCGACCAACUUAUUAAUGAAGCAACCAACCAAUCAGACAACCAAGAAACUAUUGAACUAACCAACCAACUAACGAAUAAAGCAAACAACUAACCAACAAACCAACCAGCCAACUGAUAAACUUACUAAUGGAACAACCAAUCAAAUAACUAGUAAAUCAAACAACAAAUCAAAAAUCAGACAAACUAAUCAACCAACAAACAUCCGAACCAAGUUAUAAAACCAAACUAACUCACUAAUUAACCAAACAACCAGCCAAUCAUAUAACUCACUAAUGGAACGAACAAUCAAAUAACUAAUAAAGCAAACAACAAACCAGCCAACCAAUUAACUUCCCAAUGAACCAACCAACCCAAUCAACAAACCAAUCAAGUCACUAAUGAACCAACCAAUCAAAUAACCAGUAAACCAAACAUCAAACCAACAAACCAGCGGACCACCUGAGACUCCGGAGGUCCUCGUGGUCCUCUCCCAGCGUUUGGUCCUUGGCCUCUUAAAUGGAGUUGUUUUCCUCUGCAGAUUGGUUGUGUACUUCGGCUAAAGGACUCUAAAACCCUUAAAGUGCUGCAGAUGCACACAGACACUCACUUCUUCACCCCCCUCAGACAUUUAAAGACCUGUUCCACAUAAAUAGCUCUAAUUGGCCUAUUUACAUCCAUUUCCUCAGCAUGAGGACUGGGUGACAAACAGACUGAGGAGCAGGAACAUUUUGUCUCUCAGUCUGUUUAAUAUCUUCUCGCUCUGUAAAUGCUCGGCUUGUUACUUGUCUAAAGGUCACUGUAGGAGACUUGAAUCUGUUUUUCAGAUUAUUUCUGUCUCUCAUUUUGUCUAAUGUGAUGAUGGAGGCAGAUUUCUUCAGUUUCUGAAAGAGGUCUUGGAUAUCUGAUCAGAUUAUGGAUCUAAAAACGGAUUCCUUCGGUCAAAUCUGCAGAUUGAGAGAAUCUGAAGUCUCAUUAUUUCCUUUUAUUAGCCUGAGAUCCAGCGCGUCUGUUAUUCCUCCGGAGCUUGUAAUCAUCUUCCUUUUUAACGUCUUGUUCGGCACAUUAUCCAGCCUGAGCUGACGCUGAAACAGGAGGGAGGGGGAGUUUGUUUACGGCGUGUUGACAGAUGUUUCAGUUUGAGCUCCGCUUUACUGUCAUGUUGACAGAUUCUCGGUGCGGUUUGUUGAAGGAUGACACUUUCAGCACACACACACACUUGAACACACUUACACACAUAAUCGCGGCCCCGGUGGAGCACACAAACCAUCAGCUGUAACAGUGGGUCUCAUUCCCUCUGGUUUAGCUCUGGAAACAAGCCGUAACGUUGUCAGAUAUUCACAUCCAUAUCCCUCCCGUCGUCUCACAUUUGGCUCUCUGGUUAAUUAUAACGCAGACAGAUGACUGCUUGUGGUAUUUCACCGUGUCAGAGGAUCAUUAGGAAGUAAACAGGAGCUGGAAAAGUUUGUUUAACAAAUAACUGUACUUCUCAAACCCAGUCGAGUGCACAGGAAAGGAUUUAGCCGUAGAGAAACGGGUAAAUGAGGCGAGGUUUUCCGAGGACGAGAGGGGAUCAGCAAAACAUACAGGUGCAGCAUCUACAGGGGAGUGUCCAGGGAUCUAAUCCGAAACCUGCAGCUGGAAUAUUGACCGUUAAAGAUGGAGUCAACUCUACUGUGUAAUCAAACCAAUAAAAGACUCUUGUUUAGGUGUAUUUAACCUCUGAUAUCUGAAGAAAGUGAGUAACUCAGCAGGUAGGAUUCAGUGAGACAGGAACUCUGCCAGUGACAGGAGCAACACUGCCCGCUGGUAUCCUGAGAUCCAGAAAAGCCCUGAAAUACUGUCCUUACCAAGUCCCCCUCCUGGCUAACUCUUCAGGCUCAUUUAUGCUCGACAUACGUAUGAAAAUGUACGCGUCCGUUUCAAACAAUGGUUCCGUCACUGCCCACAUACUUCCAUGCGUGCUUUGCAUCCACCAGGGGGCAGGCCGGAGUCAAAAUUUCUGACAACAACAAACAAAAAGAAACAUGGCGACUGUGGAGAGGCUAAUGAUAAUAGAGGACACAGAAACGAGGGCAGCGUAGGAGGAGGCGGUGGUCGGUCAGGCGAAUAAAUGCCUCGCUGUUGGAGGACGGAGAAUUCUUUUUUCUAGUCGUACCGAUGAGAGAAAUUGACAACAAUCCUCAAAAAGCCCCGCCAUUGUCUUUCUCGUUUCUCUUUAGAGAUGCGUAUCAGGUAGUGACAGGAGCAACACUGCCCCCAUGGUUUCCGGUGUACUGCGCCGUCUGGCCUGUAUCCAUAAACUUCAAGGAUACUCGCAGAAAUACGGACGAAAGGAACGCGAAGCAUGGACGUAUCCAGAUUGGUAUAUAACGGUGAGCAAAAAUCGCUGCAGUUCCGGAUGUGAACAUCUACGAAAAGGUCGUAUCCUCCAAUCGUAGCUGAUCGUAACCAUUCAAGUUAACGUGUCAAUUUACACCGACUUCUUUCCGUUCCUCUGCGGAUCGCCAGAAUUCGCAGGUUCUUGUGAGUUCUCACGAUUCCUGCUGUCUGUAACCCGCCACAAAAUUUGCCUCACAAACAUGUGCCAACAUAAAAACGACAUUUCGUUCCAGUAAAACAAAUCUGUAAAUUGUCAGCUUGGAUGUUCAGACGGAGGAAGAAACUGGAGCUACAAAAACAUCAUGUAUACAUGUGCCAACAUAAAAACGACACUUCGUUCCAGUAAAACAAAUUUGGAAAUUGUCAGGUUGGAUGUUCAGACGGAGGAAGAAGCUGGAGAAAAAUCAAGUGAAACACAAACAUCAGAGUAAAUUUUAGAGGAGGAGUUUCUAUUUUGCCGGCAGCACUUCAGUUCAGCAGCUUUGACUUUGUCUACAGCAGCCUCUGCAGCAGCAGCAGCAGCGGUGAAGAGGAUGUGUAGCUGUUUGUUGUUGUUGUUGUUGUUGUUAUGUAUUCAGGAAGGGGAGUCCUGUCAUGUUUAAUUCAACGCACAGAGUAAAAUCAUUUAACAACAUUUCCCCCACGGAGACGUCGAGCUCUCUAUCAGCGCGGGUUUAACGCUAAAACUCAACACAGAGACCUUAUUGUGAGUUAGCGCUGCAGGGCACACACUUUAACACACACACUUAAACACACACUUACACACACAGGAACAGAGCUCUGUGGGAGUAGAUUUGAUGCAGGCUUGAUUAAGGAUCGGAUAACUGUUGAGGCGUUAAACAGAGUGUUGGGGAAAGGCGGGAAUCCCAGGUGGAGACAGAAAGCGGGGCUGAACCGCUGCUGCUAAUACCAAGUGUUUCCCUCCACCUGCUGCUCCACAUGCUCUCUGUUUCUCACUCUCCUCUCUUCGAUCCAAGCUUUAGUUUCAGGUUUUUAACACUUCCAGAUUUACAGCGUCUCAACACCUUAUCUUUUUAGAGCGGAGGUUCAGGUUCAGGAGCGAUUCAGGUCCCAUCUGCUUAAGUGAAAAGAUAACUGAGCUACAUCUAAACUCCACCUCUGAGAUUUCCCUUCACUCUGUUUAUCAACAAGCUGUCAGCCUGCAGGAGGACCUCAGGGAUCUGGUCUUGGCCCACUUAUCUUUUUUAUGAAAAUGAAUGAUGUUGUUGGAAAAACUAAAACAAUGUUCCUCUCUUUGCAGACGAUACCACCCUCUCCAUAACAGAUACAUACACGGGUCAGAGGUGGCAGCUCUAAAACACACGCUCAUGUUUGCAGAGGUAUGAUAAGAGAACAUUCCUGUCAGUGGUUUUAAAGAAGGAGGAGAAGAAGAAGAAGACAGGCUGUCAGAAGGAAAAAUCUUCUUAGAAAAUGAACGCACCGGUGAAAAGUUUCGCUGCUCUCCACUAGGUGCUUUGCAUUGUGGGUAACAGUAGGUGAAGCAGACUGGCCCGAUGCAUACUGUGAAAUUUUCCAGAAUCAGUUCGUCAUCCGGGUAUCUUUGGCAAACUACAAAUUUCACAUUUGUUCACCUACCGAAUACUGUAUUCUACAUUUUGGGUAAAUCAGUAUGUACUGCCAGGAUAGUGGGCAAAUUCAAGAACGUCCAGUUUCUCAGCGCCUCACUUUGGUUCUUUAUGCUCAUAAAUGUUGGAAAAACCAGAAAAAAUAUCCUUCAGCGCAGAGUUUUAAAAAAUUAACCAAGAUUUUAACCAAAUACAUCUAAGCUCUGCAUCAAUAGACGUAAAGUCACGCAUUCAGCUCUCUACUUUUCUGCAGAAAUCUGCAUCAUGUCCGGAUAAAUAUUGUCUUUAUUGAUUUUACUAAAGCAGUAACAUCACUCCUCAGUGUUCCAGUUUUAGUCCGGGCAUCCUUCAGUGUAAAAUCCUCUCCAGGUUGUGGUUUGGAUCAUCCAGGAGGAACUGGGAACCAUCAGUUUUGGCCUGUAAAAACACGCCGUAUAAGAGUCCGAGUCGGUGAAUUUGCUGAACCUUCGGUCCGUCAUUAACUGUGUUUCUGCAGCCCUGGACUCUCUGAGCUGCAGGCAAAGUCAGCCGCUAAAGAAACAGGACAAUUACAGACAUAAUGAACGGCGCCGAGAGGAGGAAUUAAAAUUUAAACGGGGCCAGGUGUACCGCCGAACGAGAGCUGAAUACGCCGCCAGGUUUAUGAAAUUAACCACAAGGACGAAUAAUCAAACUGAAAUCUGUGAAUGUAGAUUUCUGCGACUCCUCACCAGAUCUAGAGAGCGAGGAGCUGGUUUCUCAAAGACCAUGAUCCAGGUCUGACUUUUCCUUUUCUCUCAUUCAGAGGGUUAAAAAUCGUCCUGAUAUUUAUGUCGGUUGUUUACUGCGGCGUGAACUUCCUCUCUGAUGACCUUAUUUCCUCCAAACUUUGAAACGGAGGGUCGUUGUUAAAUGAUGUUAUUAAUCAGCGCCCAGAGGAGAGAGGAAACACUAAUGACCUUUAUAAUGAGAGGGCUGAAGACCACGCCAUCAUCCCUCCUUCCUCGCUGCUCUUUUGUCCUCUCUCCUCCUCAUUUCCUUUCUUUUCUUGUCGUCUCUGAAGGUUUGUGACCUUCCCUGUUUUUCUCGUUGUUUUCUCUCUUUCUUAAUUUAAAAUGGAGGAGCGGUUUUGUUUUCUUCUUCUGUAUGAACCACGAUGACUUCAGGGCGGCCUCGUGACUCUGAAACUUCAACUCUUCUGCUCCUCUUUGUAUCUCAUUAAAAAGUUUGUAAUCGCCCUUUAAAGCAGUGGAAAAAAAAAACACUAGGGCUUCGUCUGUCAAUAACCAUUGCAAAAAAAACUUUGAUCCAACAAAAUUAAUUUAUUUCUUUAUAAAGAGAUGGAAACAGACGUUAGUUUUAUGCUUAUUUCUAUCAGUAAAGUCAGUCCAUUACGGACUACAGCGGGGUGCCGCAGCUCAAGGAAG
rnacentral:lncRNA from 1 species